rnacentral:rRNA from 1 species
UACGAAGGGGGCUAGCGUUGCUCGGAAUCACUGGGCGUAAAGGGUGCGUAGGCGGGUCUUUAAGUCAGGGGUGAAAUCCUGGAGCUCAACUCCAGAACUGCCUUUGAUACUGAGGAUCUUGAGUAUGGGAGAGGUGAGUGGAACUGCGAGUGUAGAGGUGAAAUUCGUAGAUAUUCGCAAGAACACCAGUGGCGAAGGCGGCUUACUGGUCCAUAACUGACGCUGAGGAGCGAAAGCGUGGGGAGCGAACAGGA